CCUUCGGGAUGAAUAUAAGUGGAACGAGCGGCGGACGGGUGAGUAACACGUGGGCAACCUACCUAUAAGACUGGGAUAACUCGCGGAAACGUGAGCUAAUACCGGAUAAUACUUUUUAUUGCAUAAUAAGAAGUUUGAAAGACGGCGUAAGCUGUCACUUAUAGAUGGGCCCGCGGCGCAUUAGCUAGUUGGUGAGGUAAAGGCUCACCAAGGCAACGAUGCGUAGCCGACCUGAGAGGGUGAUCGGCCACACUGGGACUGAGACACGGCCCAGACUCCUACGGGAGGCAGCAGUAGGGAAUCUUCCGCAAUGGACGAAAGUCUGACGGAGCAACGCCGCGUGAGUGAAGAAGGUUUUCGGAUCGUAAAACUCUGUUGUUAGGGAAGAACAAGUCAGGUAGUAACUGACCUGACCUUGACGGUACCUAACCAGAAAGCCACGGCUAACUACGUGCCAGCAGCCGCGGUAAUACGUAGGUGGCAAGCGUUGUCCGGAUUUAUUGGGCGUAAAGCGCUCGCAGGCGGUCUUUUAAGUCUGAUGUGAAAGCCCACGGCUUAACCGUGGAGGGUCAUUGGAAACUGGAGGACUUGAGUGCAGAAGAGGAGAGUGGAAUUCCAUGUGUAGCGGUGAAAUGCGUAGAGAUAUGGAGGAACACCAGUGGCGAAGGCGACUCUCUGGUCUGUAACUGACGCUGAGGAGCGAAAGCGUGGGUAGCGAACAGGAUUAGAU
rnacentral:rRNA from 1 species